AUUCAAGAUGGAGACGCCCUGGUUCAGACGCCUCUGACAGAUGCUCCAAGAUGAUGUGAAGAACCACAUUGUGACCAGUAUGGAGGUGCUGUACAUAUUUGGUCAAUGUGCCUUUUGUCAAUGAAAUAUGCCCACUCUGUAUUGUGCCGAUCAGGAACUCACUCCUUCCUGCUCUUUCUGGGCUGGUUUUGGCGGAUUUCUUCCAGUGAGAGCAUUGGAGACCAGAAGUUUUUUGAAUUGCAUCUCUAAUGACCUAUCAGAUCAGAAGACUGGUAAACCUGGAGCCUCAUCCCAAGAGGUGAUGGUGUCUGGGUUUAUUAUGGAUCGCAGGAUGUAACUAUCAAUCUGGAGCUUUAGGGGGAAGAAGAAAGAAUAUUUUGAACCACACCAGGAGAAUUACCCUAGAGAAUAUAAGUUCACCUGCCAAAAUGGGAGGCUGGCAUCUUUUUGCUCUAUGAGAAGGCUGCUGAGCUAACAGGUCUGCCUUGGCAUAAAUGUCUAGAAGAGCAUGUGUCUCCUGGAGUAUGGGGACAUUUGUGUUUCCAUAAAUUGGCAGCUGCUUCUGGUUAGAGACUUCUAAAAGGUCUGGAAUACUGGAAUACUGGUAUAGUCCAAAAGGGGAAGAUGAAAAGGAGCCGUGGAACAUUGUACCAGGAAGAAGAUGGGACAUUACUCUCCGCAUGCCCUGGAGCUUUCGGAAGACGUAUAAGAGGAUCUUAGUUUCCAUAGCUCCACAUGAAAGAGCAAGCAGGGCUGCUGAUGUCCACUGUGGGCUCCAAGUGAGGGACUGGCCCAUGGGCAGGAGGUGAGGGAGACUUACUUGCUUUUCUCUGAGCUGGUCCACAGGAGCAGAGGAGACUGGGGUGAGCCUCACUCCAGAAUACUUGUAGAGUAUGUGACACCGGUUACCAACCUUGGCUCCACAAAAAUUACCUGUGAACCUUCUAAAAUACACAUAAGAAAUUCUUACUGAAUUGAACUGGGACGAGAUUCCACGUAUCAGGAUUCUGUAAAAGCUCCCCCAGUGACUCAAGAUGAAGUCCGGGUUGAAGACCAGUGAUAUGCAGGAAAUGUGUCCUGUGAUUUGAAACCACAUUCCAUUUGUCAAGCAAGACACUACGGCCACAUAAUGGAGAUCUACUUCCAUAUGAACCAGUGGAUUUCACUCUGCUUAAUGGAAGUGCCUUAGACUACUUCUCAAACCUCAGUCCACGUCAGAAUCACCAAAGGGCCUGAUGCAUCCCAGAUUCCAGUCCCUUCUCUCCAUCCCAGACAUUCUGCUGAGGCAACUACCACAUUUAAGUGGACAAGUUCAUCAUUAAUAUUUAACUCAUGAGGCCUCUCUUGGAUCAGCUUUUCUUCACUGAUCAUUCAUCUUUGAGGCAUUCACUUCAGGACAAGACUGAG
rnacentral:lncRNA from 1 species